rnacentral:rRNA from 1 species
GAUGAACGCUGGCGGCGUGCCUAAUACAUGCAAGUCGAGCGAACGGACGAGAAGCUUGCUUCUCUGAUGUUAGCGGUGGACGGGUGAGUAACACGUGGAUAACUUACCCAUAAGACUGGGAUAACUUCGGGAAACCGGAGCUAAUACCGGAUGAUCUUUUGAACCGCAUGGUUCAAACGUGAAAGAAGGUCUUGCUGACACUUAUAGAUGGAUCCGCGCUGCAUUAGCUAGUUGGUAAGGUAACGGCUUACCAAGGCAACGAAGCAUAGCCGACCUGAAGGGGUGGUCGCCCAGACUGGAACUGAGACACGGUGCAGACUCCUACGGGAGGCAGCAGUAGGGAAUCUUCCGCGAUGGGCGAGUGCCUGACGGUGCAACGCCGCGUAAGUGAUGAAGGUCUUCGGAUCGUAAAACUCUGUUAUUAGGGAAGAACAUAUGUGUAAGUAACUGUGCACAUCUUGACGGUACCUAAUCAGAAAGCCACGGCUAACUACGUG